rnacentral:rRNA from 1 species
AUAAUAAUUAGUCUUUUUUAUUGAGGCUGGUAUGAAAGAUUGAACGAGAUAAUUACUGUCUCAUUUAAAAUUAAAAAUUGAAUUUUAUUUUUGAGUUAAAAAGCUUAAAUUAAAUUAAAGGACGAGAAGACCCUAUAGAGUUUUAUAUUUAUUUUAUAAUUAAUUAUAAUUUAAUAAUUAUUAAUGAUUAAAUAUUUUAUUGGGGUGAUAGGAAAAUUUAUUAAACUUUUUUAAAUUUAUUACAUAAAUUAAUGAUUUUUUGAUCUUAAAUUUUAGAUUAUUAGAUUAAAUUACCUUAGGGAUAACAGCGUUAUUUUUUUAUUAAGUUCUUAUUGGUAAAAAAGAUUGC